UGCGUAGGCGGAAUGAUAAGUCAGUGGUGAAAUCCUACAGCUUAACUGUAGAACUGCCAUUGAUACUGUUGUUCUUGAGUAUAGUUGAGGUGGGCGGAAUGUGUCAUGUAGCGGUGAAAUGCUUAGAUAUGACACAGAACACCGAUCGCGAAGGCAGCUCGCUAAACUAUAACUGACGCUCAGGCACGAAAGCGUGGGGAGCGAACAGGAUUAGAUACCCUGGUAGUC
rnacentral:rRNA from 1 species